UGAGGUAGAAUUCCAGGUGUAGCGGUGAAAUGCGUAGAGAUCUGAAGGAAUACCGAUGGCGAAGGCAGCUUCCUGGCAUCAUACUGACACUGAGGUUCGAAAGCGUGGGUAGCAAACAGGAUUAGAUACCCGUGUAGUCCAAAAAACAGUAA
rnacentral:rRNA from 1 species